UACGGAGGGGGCUAGCGUUGUUCGGAAUUACUGGGCGUAAAGCGCACGUAGGCGGCUUUGUAAGUUAGAGGUGAAAGCCCCGGGCUUAACUUGGGAAUUGCGCUCGAAACUACGUGGCUGGAGUGUGGCAGAGGAAGGUGGAAUUCCAGGUGUAGCGGUGAAAUGCGUAGAGAUCUGGAGGAACACCGAUGGCGAAGGCAGCCUUCUGGGCCAACACUGACGCUCAUGCACGAAAGCGUGGGGAGCAAACAGG
rnacentral:rRNA from 1 species